rnacentral:rRNA from 1 species
ACCUUCGGGUCUAGUGGCGCACGGGUGCGUAACGCGUGGGAAUCUGCCCUUGGGUUCGGAAUAACGUCGGGAAGCUGACGCUAAUACCGGAUGAUGACGAAAGUCCAAAGAUUUAUCGCCCAGGGAUGAGCCCGCGUAGGAUUAGCUAGUUGGUGAGGUAAAGGCUCACCAAGGCUACGAUCCUUAGCUGGUCUGAGAGGAUGAUCAGCCACACUGGGACUGAGACACGGCCCAGACUCCUACGGGAGGCAGCAGUAGGGAAUAUUGGACAAUGGGGGCAACCCUGAUCCAGCAAUGCCGCGUGAGUGAUGAAGGCCUUAGGGUUGUAAAGCUCUUUUACCCGAGAUGA